rnacentral:rRNA from 1 species
AGUCAUUGCUAUCCGAAUCCGACUAAGCCAUGCAAGUUUUGAUGUUCAUCUUUGGGCAUCAGGGCGGAAAGCUCAGUAACACGUAGUUAACAUGCCCUCAAGUCUGGGAUAAUCUCGGGAAACUGAGGCUAAUACCAGAUAGAUAAAAGACACUGGAAUGUUCUUUUAUCCAAAGAUUUAUCGCUUGAGGAUUGGACUGCGCCGGAUUAGGUUGUUGUGAAGGUAAAAUCUUCCCAAGCCGAUAAUCCGUACGAGCCUUGAGAGAGGAAGCUCGGAGAUGGAUUCUGAGACAAGAAUCCAGGCCCUACGGGGCGCAGCAGGCGCGAAACUUUCCCAAUGCACGAAAGUGUGAGGAAGGGAUUCGGAGUGCAUUCUCUUAUAAAGGGGAUGCUUUUGUGGAGUGUAAAAAGCUUCAAGAAUAAGUGGUGGGUAAGACGGGUGCCAGCCGCCGCGGUAAUACCCGCGCCACGAGUGAUGACCACGUUUAUUGGGCUUAAAGCGUUCGUAGCCGGACCAGAAAGUCCUUAGUGAAAUCCCGCAGCUAACUGUGGGGCUUGCUAGGGAAACUGCUGGACUUGGGACCGGGAGAGGUCUGGGGUACUCAAGGGGUAGGGGUAAAACCCUUUUGCGCACGAGACAAGCAAAAGCGUUUGCGGAAAAUCAAUGCGCAUUUGGUUAUAGUCCUGUAAUCCUUUGGGGACCACCGGUGGCGAAGGCGCCAGACCAGAACGGACCCGACGGUGAGGGACGAAAGCUAGGGGAGCAAAGGGGAUUAGAUACCCCCGUAGUCCUAGCUGUAAACGAUGCCCACUAGACAUUGGCAAUCUCACGGGGGUUGCCAGUGCCGUAGCGAAAGCGUUAAGUGGGCCGCCUGGGGAGUACGGUCGCAAGGCUGAAACUUAAGGG